rnacentral:misc_RNA from 1 species
AUAUAAUCAACCUUCUCUUGUUUUGAGAAUGGUUUGGAUGUGGGGGUUUGCUGGCCUCUCUGAAAAGGUCUUCAGCUCCCCUGAAAUGCAUUAGCAGAACAACCUUUGUUCAUUGGUGUGAUAACUAUCUACGCUUAUGAAUCCGAGGGGCAGUUCAGCUUUCUAAUGGUCUUUGGACAAUUCAUCAUUA